rnacentral:rRNA from 1 species
UACAAGUCCUCUGUUAAAUCCAACUGAUUAACAGAUGGGGCGGGGAGGAUACUAUAAGACUCGGAGGCAGGAGAGGCAAGCGGUAUUCAGUGGGUAGGGGUAAAAUCCGUUGAUCCAUUGAAGACCACCAGUGGCGAAGGGGGCUUUCCAGAAUGCGUUAGACGGUGAGGGAAGAAAGCUGGGGGAGCAAACCGGACUAGAUCCCCGGGUAGUCCCACCCGUAAACGAUGCAGACUCGGGGAUGGACUAGCUUCAUCCUAGUCCGGUUCCCCAGGGAAGCCGUUAAGUCUGCCCCCCGGGUAGUACGGUCGCAAGACUGAAACUUAA